UCUGUGCAUUUCUAGAGCCAGCAGAUGACAAGAAGAAAGCAAGACAAAUCCUGCAGCAGUUCCAGUGUGAUUUAAUGAGGUCUGAUCCCAUCCAUAUCUGCUGUUCACCCCAGUUUCUGUUGCAUGAAGUACCUGGUCUGAAGAGGAGGAUGGCAAAAGCGUGGGGCCAGGUCCCACAGCAUCCCAGGCAGGCCCUGAGAGAGUUUUGGAAGCCACAUAUGCUUAUUGAAAUUUGGAGCAGCAUUGCCUGGACACUUUGACAUAGGCAUUGGGAAACACCCUGCAUGACCAGUGAUGCAAUAAGUUGCCUAAUAGCUUGGAGUAUCAAAUUAACACAGGGAAAGACAUUUUGUCCAUAUAAAACCCCAUUAAUCCCAAAUAAGUCAUCAUGGAUUUAUCAGUGGCAG